rnacentral:rRNA from 1 species
CUCUGUGACUCCUACGGGAGGCAGCAGUGGGGAAUAUUGCACAAUGGGCGCAAGCCUGAUGCAGCCAUGCCGCGUGUGUGAAGAAGGCCUUCGGGUUGUUAAAGCACUUUUCAGCGAGGAGGAAAGGUUAACGGUUAAUACCCGUUUAGCUGUGACGUUACUCGCAGAAGAAGCACCGGCUAACUCCGUGCCAGCAGCCGCGGUAAUACGGAGGGUGCAAGCGUUAAUCGGAAUUACUGGGCGUAAAGCGUGCGUAGGCGGUUGUUUAAGUUGGAUGUGAAAGCCCCGGGCUCAACCUGGGAACUGCAUCCAAAACUGGACGACUAGAGUACGAGAGAGGAGUGUGGAAUUUCCUGUGUAGCGGUGAAAAUGCGUAGAUAUAGGAAGGAACACCAGUGGCGAAGGCGACACUCUGGCUUGAUACUGACGCUGAGGUACGAAAGCGUGGGGAGCAAACAGGUUUAGAUACCCUGGUAG